ACUCAAGAAACGUUAUGCAAGCCUUGACGCUGCAGAGUAGAAUUUUCUUUGACAGAAUGCAAAAUGAUAUACGCAGCGCACAGCACAUGCUUCUUACUUCAUGCACCACAUGCGGAUAACAUUAUUGUCCCAAGGUUACCCAACAAUGCUUCUGCUGAAGAGGUGAAGAAAGAGGAGAGUUGACCAGGGUUAUCCAUCCCGCAACGUGUUUUCCUACUAUAUCUACAUGGUUGCCCAAGACAGCCGAAGGAGGAGGCUUAGAUAUUGUGCCUCCACUUCAAGAUUGGGGAUACAAGACUAUGGCCUCAAAAUUGCGCAGAAGAAAGAGUAAGAGCAUGCCCAUCUGUGCGAGUUUUAGUAUGAAGGUGAAACCGGCAAGCCAGGCUCACCCAUUUGCAUCCGCAUAUUUCGGGGUUUAAGUGGGCAUUGUUGUUUGCUUUUGAAAGGGGGGGAGGGCGAAAUGGCCAAGGGACAUGUGCAUCAACUUCAGGGUUAGAUGGUUUUUACGCAGACCGCUUUUAAAUUCUCGCUCGGAAAUGCUCAAUAGCCAUCGCCUGUGGGCUCAUUCCUACUGGUUGUACGAUAACUAAUUUCUAAUCAAGGAGGUAGUUUUUACUAUAUCAGAUCUGCCACCAGGCAUGCCAGCCUCCUCUUCCUAUCACUCCUUUCAGAAACAUGCACAGAUGAAUUUCCUGAUCAUAACGGCUGUUGUAUAUCAUAUUUUCAUACUCUCACUCUUAUUGCCCGUGGCAAAAUAGUGCAUUCCCACAUCACGUUCAAGAGUCUCCACCAUCUGACUGGGAUUGGCCCAGCCUCUUUUGAGGCUUCUCGGUUGCCCUUUCACGAAUCGAAUCGCUGUUUGCCACUAUGACCAGAACAGCCAAACCCCCUUG
rnacentral:sRNA from 2 species